UCCACCUGCCAGGUUCAAGCAGUUCUGCCUCAGCCUCCCGAGUAGCUGGGACUACAGGUGUGCACCACCACGCCUGGCUAAUUUUUGUAUUUUUAGUAGAGACAGUUUCGCCAUGUUGGCCAGGCUGGUCUCAAACUCCUGACCUCAGGUGAUCAGCCUGCCUCAGCCUUACAAAGUGCUGGGAUUACAGGCGCGAAGCCACCGCGCCCGGCCCCCACCACUGUGUUUAAUUCUAACCAAGGAGAAGAGGAAGUUCUGAAAGGAGAACAAGGAGAUCUGAGAACACGGCUCGGGCCUGGCCAGGGGCCUCUCAGAGGAAAGCUCUCCCUGUUGCGUCCCUCCACGCCAGGGCCUGCGUGGAGUGGGCACGGUUUUUGAUACCUGCCUUGCUGACCUUCAGCUCCAAUUUCUUCAUCUGAAAGUGAGGAUAAAAGAAUUAACCCCUCUUUCUAGUCAGAUGCCUGCUAGAUCCAUUUACCUGCUUGAAUUUGAGAUGUAUUGCCAGGAUACACCUCCACAGUCUGAUGGAACACACUGAAGAUAUCUGAACAACAAAAGGCAGAUUCCUUUCAAUCAUCUGAGUGAGCCCAGUGCAAUCUGAAGAGUCCCUACAGGUGGAAGAGGCAGGGGCCAGGAUCCAAGGAGCACCACAGCCUCUGGAAGCCGGGCAAGGAAGUGGACACCCCGGGAGCCUCCAGCAGGAAGGAAGCCCCGCGGACGCCCUAACUUCAGCUCAGCAGACCUGGUCAGAUUUCCGGCCUGCAGCUCUGUUAAGGGGAGACGUUUGUGUUGUUUGAGGCCACCGAGCCUGGUCAUCUGCGCCGGCAGCCGCAGGAGCCCAGGCCACCAUCCCCACGAGGUCCGUAUACUGUGAUGUCUGCCUGGGCAUUCUGCACAGGGUCUUUAUUUUCUCUUCCCCUCCCCUGCAAGGUCAGUCCCGGGAGCCCAGAAGGUGCUUGAUGAAUGAUCUGCAGCUGAUUGAGCGAAGGAACGAGUGAGCCGAGCCAGUCAGCAGCAUUAGUGUGAUACGUGUUGCUUUUCAAUUAAAGCUCUCUGCCUCUCGGUUGAGCAACUCUGAGAGCCGGGGUCCCCACCCUUCUGUCCCCCUCAUGGUGGGUCUUGUACCCAACAGCUUGCCAGAGCAGAGAGCCAUGAAUAGGGUUUGGUUUCAGGAAAGAUGACCAGGAGACUCAGCCCAGGAGUCAGCCUGAGUUCAAAUCCUGGCCCCACGCUUCCUGCCUUGUCACCCUGGGCAUGUGAUUCAGUUCUUGGUUCUUGUACAUUUGGGUGGAAACUGACAACUGCCUGCCAUGGGGAGAACCAGCUUGCCUGCCUUCUGCACCACGGCUGGCACUGAUCAUUAGCAGGUUAAAAAAAAAGCUUUGCCAAUACGCCGGGC
rnacentral:lncRNA from 1 species